rnacentral:rRNA from 1 species
CAAGCGGUGGAUUAUGUGGUUUAAUUCGAUGAUACGCGAGGAACCUUACCAAGGCUCAAAUGGGAAUUGAUGGGUUUAGAAAUAGACCGUCCUUCGGGCAAUUUUCAAGGUGCUGCAUGGUUGUCGUCAGCUCGUGCCGUGAGGUGUUAGGUUAAGUCCUGCAACGAGCGCAACCCCUGUUACUAGUUGCUACCAUUAAGUUGAGGACUCUAGUAAGACUGCCUACGCAAGUAGAGAGGAAGGUGGGGAUGACGUCAAAUCAUCACGGCCCUUACGCCUUGGGCCACACACGUAAUACAAUGGCCGGUACAGAGGGCAGCUACACAGCGAUGUGAUGCGAAUCUCGAAAGCCGGUCUCAGUUCGGAUUGGAGUCUGCAACUCGACUCUAUGAAGCUGGAAUCGCUAGUAAUCGCGCAUCAGCCAUGGCGCGGUGAAUACGUUCCCGGGCCUUGUACACACC